rnacentral:lncRNA from 1 species
UUGGCCCAUGACAUAUUUUGGUGUCUUAUCAUAGAUGCCCAUUAGGUUACAAACCUCUCACAUCAAAAGUUGUUUCUGGGAUUUGAGUGAGACCUCUGGUUCUGUGAAACGAUAGACAAAUGUUCAUGUUCCACUUGCGAUUCAGUAACGAAUGAUAAUAAUGAUAUCAAUCAAAUUAACCCAACACUUAUAUUCAAUUCCUCUUCUCUGCCUUCUUCAUCACCACCAUUCAAUGUAUAUACAGAUCGAGAGACCUUCUUUCAUAUUUCUGUUUCACACUUUUCAUAAGCUAACAGACGGUUAGGAAUGGCAACUUCACAGGUUUUUCUCACUGUAUUGAAAGCAGAUCGGAGCAGGCAU